AUUUUUGGGUUGUAACAAUAUUUUCGAUGUUGCUUUACAAAAUUGUUUUUUCUGAUUUGUGUUAAUUCUCUCACAAUCAAUUCAAGCGAGAGGUAACAUCGAGAAAGGUGUCUUCGUUGCAGGGAAUUGUGAGACCACCAGUAGGGUGAGUAUAUCCGAAUUCU